rnacentral:rRNA from 1 species
CCUACGGGAGGCAGCAGUGGGGAAUAUUGCGCAAUGGGCGAAAGCCUGACGCAGCGACGCCGCGUGAGGGAUGAAGGUCUUCGGAUCGUAAACCUCUGUCAGCAGGGAAGAACGGUCACUGUGCUAAUCAGCAGUGAAUUGACGAUACCUGCAAAGGAAGCACCGGCUAACUCCGUGCCAGCAGCUGCGGUAAUACGGAGGGUGCGAGCGUUAAUCGGAAUUACUGGGCGUAAAGGGAUCGUAGGCGGUAUGUCAAGUCAAGGGUGAAAUCCCCGGGCUCAACGUGGGAACUGCCUUUGAUACUGGCAGACUUGAGUGUGUGAGAGGUUAGUGGAAUUCCAGGUGUAGGGGUGAAAUGCGUAGAUAUCAGGAGGAACAUCAGUGGCGAAGGCGACUAUCUGGCACAUAACUGACGCUGAGGAGCGAAAGCGUGGGUAGCAAACAGGAUUAGAUACCCGAGUAGUC